AAAAAACAUAUGCUGCAGCUAUAAACCUUUUUAGAAAGCUCCAUCAUUAACAAACAUAUUUUGAUACUCGCCAGCUCUGAUAUGCGAGCUUCCCCAUUGCCAAGCAACGAGUCUAGGCGGAGGUCUCGAACAAAAGCGAGACUUCAAAGUGUGUUCCGGUUCUCCGGCCCAUCCUAGUGACUCGUAAAUGCCCUUUCCACCGGAAGACGGCCUCGCCUGUAUCUCAGGCGGUCCGGUUACGUGGAGCACGUAACGAGCCUCGCUGGGCAUUUCUCUCCGCACUCCGUUGAUCACAUUGAAUGCCACGCAUCGAUAUUCCCCUUCGUCGGACCACAUCACGUUCUUCAAAUGUAAACGUUUUCCACCGUCUUUGGUCUGCAGCGGAUUCUCAAUGGUCUCCGUCACGCCACCACGAAGAUGCACCCAUCGAUAUUGAGGUGGAGGAUUUGCUUCAAAAUCUAUACACUCGAAGGGUUCCAAGCUUGUACCAAGCAGAGUCGUUUCUUCAAAUUUUUGCGCGGUAUCGUUGUAGAAAAUAUCGUCACUGCUCCAUCCUAAUCGCAACAGCCGUUACGCCCAAGUUUCCGGAAAGCGGUUUAGUAAUUUCCCACGAAUACCGAUAUUCAAGGUUUAUACCCUUUCUAGAGUGAUUCACGGGGAGACUAUGCCCGCGGCCAGUUUCUCCGCUUCUAUGGCUACAAUCUGCAUAAUUACGCUUGCCGUUGCAUCUUCAGCGAAAU
rnacentral:misc_RNA from 1 species